rnacentral:lncRNA from 1 species
GGGAGAGUGGGAGAGGUCUUGCGCUAAGCACCUUCAUAUGCUGUAAGCCCGUUGCCAAGUUAGCUUUCAACACAUGGAGAACGGCCCAGAACGAUGAGCUCCUCUGGACCAGGGUCCGGGUUCGUCUGUCACUGCCACUUUCCCCGUUAGCACUGAAGAGGAGGACAAUGGGUGAAGGCAAGAGUCACACCUGACUGUAUGACAGAGUGGCUCUACCAAGGUCCCCAUAUGACAUGUACUGAACUCAGCAGGCGGCGUGACAGGCUUGCCAUAAAUAAGACUCAAAACCUUUCCUGUGGACUUGGGGACAUCGGACCCUCAACAGUACAAUCGGGUCAAAUCCUGAUGAGGAGUGUCAGAGGACUGACUAAGUAUCUCUUUCUGUUUAAACACUGGUUUCUCAUGAGAUUACAGAUUAUUCAGGAAGGUGGUAUGUGUGAGUGUGAGUGUGUGUCUUCCAUUUCAGCUCCUGAUGCAAUGGUCCAGACGACCUCUCUUUAUCUUGGCUACAGUGUCUGGACUGAGGAAAGGUUACAAGCACUGCUGGAGUCAUCAUCAGGCUGGUAAUUCAAACCUGCUGUUUUAAGGGCACACACAGGCACGCGACUGGAAUGGGGUAAGAGGUAGAGGGCUGAGGGUGGGGGGUAUCUAAUCUAAAAUUAACUGCGCUGGAGUGCUUUGUGGGAAAGAUCAAAGGAGUGUGUGUAGUCCAGCUAUUGUCCACCAUCUCUGGGGGUAGAUUGGUUUUUAAAGAGGGGCGAUAGCCACUGCACCUAUAGGGAGGGGUAGGGGGUUAUCGGUCCAGGCUGUGUGCUAUCUGCACUGAGGUGCCCGUGAAGUUGAUCAAAGCUAGCAUAGAACAAUAGUCAAAAAUCUGAAAGAAGAUGAUGGAAUUCUCAUAAGGACUUGGGUUACAACCCCUCUUCCUCUUCCUCACCCUGGCCCACCUACAGAAUAAGAAACUGUAAAAGUUGAAUUCCUAUAAAUCAUCCUUAGGCCAUGUGCUCUCUCCAUCCUCCAUGGUCAUUCUGGGAAUGGCUGUGGAACGUCGGUAUACUGUAGAUAAUCUAGGAUUGGAGUGUAAUGGAUUGUUGCACUGGGAAUAAGGCUGGGAUAAAAUCUAACAUUCCGAGACAAGGCUCUGAUAUAUUGAUUUAUCGAAGCUGUGGAAUAUAUUCCAACGGGUGGGAGCCCAACACAAGGCAAGAAUUCAUCUCAGUCAACCCAACAGAUAGUUUGAGAUAUUUUACCUCCACUCAGAGAGUACCCUCAUGGUGAUGAACAUGGGGUUUGAAGCUAUACAGUAAUAAACGCAGACUGAGUGUACAAAACAUUAGGAACACCUUCCUAAUAUUGAGUUGCACCCCCUUUUGCUCUCAGAACAACCUCAACUCGUCAGAGCAUGGACUCCACAAGGUGUUGAAAGCGUUCCAAAGGGAUGCUGGCCCAUGUUGACUCCAAUGCUUCCCAUAGUUGUAUCAAGUUGGCUGGUAGUGGAUCUCUACUCCGAAUAGUUCACUCCAUCUCAUCACACAGAUGCUCAAUUGGAUUGAGAUCUGGUGACUGGGCAAGCCACUGCAGUAAGCUGAAUUUACUGUAAUGUUCGUAGAACCAUUCCUGGACAAUCCUACCCUUUUGGCAUGGGUCAUUAUCCUGCAGAAGAAAAUUGCAGAUGGAUACACUGCUGCCAUGAAGGGAUGCACCUGAUUGGCAAUGAUGUUCAAAUAUCCUGUGGCAUUCAAACGUUGCUCCGCUUUUAUCAAGGGGCCAAAUGUGUGUCAUGAAAACACACCCCACACCAUCACCACCACCAGCCUGCAUUGACCCAUUUUCUACCAAUGUCUGGAUGUCCUUUGGUUGGUGGACCAUUCUUGAUACACAGAGGAAACUGUUGAGUGUGGAAAAACCCAGCAGACUUGCAGUUAUUGACACACUCAAACCGGUGCGCCUGGCACCUACUACCAUACCCUGUUCAAAGGCCCUUAAAUCUUUUGUCUUGCCCAUUCACCCUCUGAAUAGCACACACACACACACACACACACACACACACACACACACACACACACACACACACACACACUGCACACACACACACACAAUCCAUGUCUCAAUUGUCUCAAGGUUUAAAAAUCCUUCUUUAACAUGUCUCCUCCACUUCAUCUACACUGAUUGAAGUGGAUUUAACAGGUGACAUCAAUAAGGGAUCAUAGCUUUCACAUG